rnacentral:lncRNA from 1 species
UGAGUUUUAAUGAAAUUAUGUUGUUGAGUCCUAUAACGAAGUGAAGAGAAAGGUGGUUUAAUUGUUGAAAGGGACUCAAAGGGUUUGUUUGUCCACUUUAUUGAAACUGGGGGAUUUUACACAAGUUGAUAUGGGUGUUGGUAUAGAAAUGACCUCAUAGCUUAACAAAAAUAUGGUUGUUGCUGGUUUUGAAGCCACUUUUUUUUGGGAUAGCGAGGAUGGG